rnacentral:tRNA from 1 species
AGGAUUUGGUUGUCUAGGGGAGUCCAAGGAAAUCCAACUAUUUCGGACUUUUAAUCCGUUGGUCACUGGUUCGAAUCCAGUACGUCCUACCA